AAUUCAACUGUAAAAUUAAUGCAACAUAUUAGCUUUAAUUCAUGUACGACACGUGUUGCCACCCAAUGGAGGGCUUGUUUAUGUUCGUGGCAGUUGACAGUGACAGAAGGGGUUAUUAACCAUUCAGCCCAUACCCCAUUUGGGGCAACUGCUAACCGGCCACGUGAAUGCAGAAAGAACCUUGAAACUGUUUAUUAACGCAGUCAAGAAAUUUGCACAUUCGAUCCAAAUGUUGUUGGGUAAUAAACAUGCGAAAAACAGAGAAACUACGAAAUCGCUAUUGAUUGCAGGGGAAAAAAUGGAAAAAAGGCGAAGAAGGUUGCAAAACUGGCUCCAUUUUGCAAGGUUGUGUGUGCUAUUGGGGAGUUCUGUCCCCUUCUGCAUUCCAAAAUUAAUGUAAGCACUUACUGUCCCUAUAUGGCACGCGCUCCAGCACUAAGGUCACCAAAUUGGACUCGUUUAGUUUCAGGGACAUAACAAGGGCCUUUGUAUACUCCAGCCUCUUUAGCGACUCAUGCACCGCCUUCGGUGUGACUUCCAGUGACAAAUCGAACGGAUCGAAGACAACUCCUGCAAUUAUCAUCGUUUAACAAUUUAAAAAGCCUCUUCUAUUAUAUUAAAUUUUACUUAUGCAUCUUCAACUUACCUUUAUCGAGUGCAUAGAUGCAAAGGCCUUCCGUGCCAGCUGCAGCAAAUGCCUGGCCAGUGGGUGAAAA